AAAGAAGCAAAUGAAAGGAAAUAGAAACAGAAUGGAACGAAACAGAGAGCAGGGGAGAAAAAGAAAGAAAGAAGGGGAGAAAAGGGAAAAUUGAAGGUUUGAAGCUUUAAGCUUUAAUAGUCAAUGUGGUACCGGAAAUCUCGGCUAAGAAAGGACAAGACAAAGUCAACGGGAGUUAGCUCGAAAAUUACGGUUAAGUAAAGAUAGUACGUUGAAUCAGCAUCCCAGCAUGAUCCCGAAUUCAUUAAGGUAAAGUAUGUUGAGUAUUGAUAGUGACAUGUACCCAGGAUGUUUAAUGAGAGUCAUUUAGGUUGUAGAAGUAUUGAUGAAAUGAGUAAAUUAUGGUUGGCAACGGUAUGUAGUAUGAAUUUUGAAAUUUACUAAAAAUCCGUAGUGAUUCUAAAUUAGUCCCGAAUUGAAUUUACUGUUCAUAUUGGACCGCAAGGGCCCAUUAAAGGGACGACAUCUUAAAACUAGGAUGUGUGUGAAUAUUUAUUUUAAUUAAUGACCAGAAUUGGGCUGUACUGACUGGUAAUGUCUCGUAACCCUACUAUCAAUCCACUUCCCACACCC